CUUUAAUACCGUUCUCAGAUAUGGCUUCAUGUUAACUGACGUAAAUAUUUUCAUAGAUGGUAUUACGAACGGUUACGUCUUUAUCUUCGACAGGCAGCACCAUUUCGUCUAAAGGAAGUCCAUGUCUUAAAUGCGCCAUCCAUCGUAGAAAUAUUAAUGAACACAA